CUUAACGGUUCCUGGUGGCUGGCUGGGGCCAAGAGCCCUAUUCAGAGACCGGGCUAGAUGGCACCUCGCUUAGCCUGUGCAAACGGGGGAACGCCGCAUUUUCCACCUUUCCCUUCCAGCCAGGUGCACGGUUAGCGAGAGCAAACUCAGCCUGCAGCUCUACUUCAGCCCAGCUCCCAAUGUCGGAGGUAGCUUUAAGCGAUCGAUGUAUUUAAGCUUCCAUAGGACCUGCUGCCAGUAGAAAGAUUGUGACGCUGUGGAGAAAAUCAGCUCCCUGCAGCUGAGAGCGGAUAGCGAGUUCAGGGCGCGUCUGGAGCCUGAAGUCGGACGGGAAUCAGUGCAGGCCUUGUUAACACAUCGUUCCAACUCAACCAUGUCCCUCUGUGGUCAGGCCGUGAUUCAGCGGUUUCGUAGGGACAGCGGAGACCCAACACCUGCAGAAGUGGACGAGCGAGCGGCCGGAGAGGGGCUGAGGUGCCGUCUCCAUGACACUGUAAACGAUUCCCAAACAACUGCGAACUUUGAAGCUCAACUUUGUCAGAGUGUUGUGUUCCUCGAGUUUCUAGUUCAUUAACUCGCACUUGCAUCGCAUCAGGCUAACUUAGUUCUGCACGGCUUCACCUGGGCCCUUACAAGAUAAUACUGCAGAGACUCGGGUUCUUAUAUUGGGUCACCUGCUGACAGUGGUCAGCGCGGACAUAUCUGGAGUCAGGCGUCAAUUAACAUUAACAUGGGAAAUGUGCGGUAUAAAGUUGCGCACAGUGUGCGGGUUUAGACCGGCUCCACUCCCUAUCGCAUGACUCGCUCCGUGUCAAUUUCCCCCCUCUGCUUUUCCUCAGCCUCUCACUGCAGGUCUCUCCGCAGUAAAGCAUGCCAAUUUGGUAAAGAGCUACUGAUUUAAGUUUACUGACACGGGGAGAGAAUCCAAUCUUGUUGCGGCACCUCCGUUCUCCUGUGAGUGCUUUCCAGUCAUACGGGUGGUUAGCUGAGAUUUGUAAGCUUACACCUCGGGAUAGUUUUAAAGAAAGGGAUAAAACAAGUAAACAAAUUCCACAAUAAUGCCGUAAUUUAACUACUCAAAUACUGGAUGUUUAUUAGAAACAUUCACGCCGCUAAGGACUGGAGAUUUCGUUCUUCUUUCAAUAUUAUCUUGAAUCGAACUAAUAAUGUUAACACAAAGGGAAUGUAUUGAGAAAAAUACACUAGAAAGAAAUGAAUUGGGCGCACAAUGCAUUCUAUUCGUUUAAAACAAGAUAAUUAUAUAAAAAGGAUUAAUAAUCAAUAUCGAAGAGACAGGAGUUUCCAAAGACUGCGACAAUUAGUUAAACAACACACGUAUACUCCCGUUCAUUUAAUAUGUAAAUAUAUGUUGAAAACAGCCGUGCCCUGUAGUAAUUAAUGGCGGGGGCCUUUCUAAUUUUGAUUUUGUAAGAGUUUUGUUAAUGAGAGAGUGGGCACGUUAAUAAUGUAUUCAUUGUAUAAUGAAAGCCCAGCCGGUCAUUAACAGACUGUAUCAUAUUGCAGAUAUAAUACUCUAACACAGCUAUAGUCUGAGAGAUGGUAAUUUCAUAACGCUAGCGCGCUAAAGUUUGCCUUCAUAUUCUUCAAAGAAUUUCUUUCGCUUGUUCCCUGUUCAGUAGCUCACGUUUGAACGUUGAAACCCCAGCAAAGAUCGAUUACUGAGUAAGCAGAAAUCCACCCCACACAGCAUCAAACUACUGGGAGAGAUAACAUCACGGAGGCGCACUUCACACCCAAACUGUUAACACGAUUCCC